rnacentral:rRNA from 1 species
GAUCUUUAUAUAAUAAUAAUUUAUAUAAAAAUUAGUUAAUUUAUUUUUUUUUAAUUUGUUUUAUAUUAUAUUGGGGUAAUAAUAAAAUUUUAGUAAUUUUUAUUUAUUAAAUUCAAUUAUAAUUGAUUUUUUGAUCCAGUAUUAUUGAUUAUAAGAUAAAGUUACCUUAGGGAUAACAGCGUAAUGAUUUUUGAGAGUUCUUAUCAAUAAAAUAGUUUGU